rnacentral:rRNA from 1 species
CCUACGGGUGGCAGCAGUGGGGAAUAUUGCGCAAUGGGCGAAAGCCUGACGCAGCGACGCCGCGUGAGGGAUGAAGGUCUUCGGGUCGUAAACCUCUGUCAGCAGGGAAGAACGGUCACUGUGCUAAUCAGCAGUGAAUUGCCGGUACCUGCAAAGGAAGCACCGGCUAACUCCGUGCCAGCAGCCGCGGUAAUACGGAGGGUGCGAGCGUUAAUCGGAAUUACUGGGCGUAAAGCGCUCGUAGGCGGUAUGUCAAGUCAAGGGUGAAAUCCCCGCGCUCCACGUGGGAACUGCCUUUGAAACUGGCAAACUGGAGUGUGUGAGAGGAUAGUGGAAUUCCAGGUGUAGGAGUGAAAUCCGUAGAUAUCUGGAGGAACAUCAGUGGCGAAGGCGACUAGCUGGAACAUAACUGACGCUGAGGAGCGAAAGCGUGGGUAGCAAACAGGAUUAGAUACCCCAGUAGUC